rnacentral:rRNA from 1 species
AGCAGCCGCGGGUAAUUCCAGCUCCAAUAGCGUAUAUUAAAGUUGUUGCAGUUAAAAAGCUCGUAGUUGAACUUCAGGUCUGGCUGGACGGUCCGCCUUCCGGGCGAGCACUGUCUGUGGUCGGGAUAGUUGGGGGUAUUAGUAUUCAAUUGUCAGAGGUGAAAUUCUUGGAUUUAUUGAAGACUAACUACUGCGAAAGCAUUUGCCAAGAAUGUUUUCAAUCAAGAACGAAAGUUAGGGGAUCGAAGACGAUCAGAUACCGUCGUAGUCUUAACCAU